CGGCAGUCAUUCUGCGUCUGCUGUUGAUCUGGCAGCUGUCAGUCAUUUCCGCAGUGAGGCUGGAGUCUCUGACUGGACAGGAUGUGCUGUGGGAUGUCCGGGCUCUGUUUCGUGUUCGGUUUGGAAGAAAUCUUUCAAGCGCAGUCGUGGAAUUGAUCUUCUUUAUCUCCCAGGAUUGGCUGGCGUGUCAGACGGCGUUUAAAGGUCUCACAACCGAGUCAGGCCGAGUGAGCAUGUCGUGGGACUGGAUUAUUUAUCGGCCUCAGUGGAGGGCCACUAGACACCCAGCCUGACGCUUCUACACUAGGUCACGCUUGUACCGCAGAGAGUCCUGUUGGAGAGGAGGCUCCUGAAAGGCUGCCCCCCGCCUCCCGCACCAUCACAGGCUUGGUCUGGGUGAGACCACAGCGGAUCAUGAAAGAGACAGCUGUCACAACAUCCAUCCGCCAGAGAGGUGUCAUUCUCCCAGUGUCCAGAGUUGUACUCGAUUCUACACGGUCCAUAUCACAGAGAGAGGUUCUUAGAAAUGGUUUCACAGUACAUAAUCUGGUGAGGGACUUGUUACAUUACUGGCCUCAAAUACGUAACCUAUAGUUUUUUCACACACCCCCCCUGUCGAUAUAUUUUAUAGUUCACAGGUUCAAAGAAGCUACUACUAACCAAUAAGGUUAAGUAAUUCCGACAGAGCAAAUACAGCUGAAGUUCCUCUUGGAUCGGUUGGUCAAAGACGGAUCUAAAAAUAAACCAACCAGCCAUUGAAGAUGCCUGGAGAUCGCCCCUGCUGUCAUAACACUGAGGCGUAUGAGGACGGUGCAGAUUCAAAGCUGGUGCCGUCCCAGACUUGGAGAGGAAAUCCCCAAGAAGGCGGAUGAAAGGAUUUAAUGCGUUUCAAUGAAGAGUGGACGAUCACCUGGGAUGGGGCCGACACGGGUGUUGGAUAGGGGUGAUACGGGUAUGUCCAUACACCCUGUCUGCGCAGGGUGCAUCCCCCUUAAUGCACCCUGCAUGGUCCACACCCUAGGGCCCUCUAGUAGGAUCAGAACAACCACAAAGAGCGACAAAUGAGGGAGACUGUGGUGAGAAAAGUAUUGAAUUCAAAGCGGAAUCUUUGUUUCCGACUGGGUUCAUGGGGAAGUGAUUGUGGCGCUUGUUAGGCAUUACACUGUGUGAUGUCAUUGGAUUUGUU